rnacentral:rRNA from 1 species
UACGGAGGGGGCUAGCGUUGUUCGGAAUUACUGGGCGUAAAGCGCACGUAGGCGGCUUUGUAAGUUAGAGGUGAAAGCCCGGAGCUCAACUCCGGAACUGCCUUUGAUACUGGUGAUCUUGAGUUCGGGAGAGGUGAGUGGAACUGCGAGUGUAGAGGUGAAAUUCGUAGAUAUUAGGAAGAACACCAGUGGCGAAGGCGGCUCACUGGUCCGGUACUGACGCUGAGGUGCGAAAGCGUGGGGAGCAAACAGG